UUUUUCUGGAAAACUGCUCUCAAACCCUCCUUUUUUUAUCUCUUCCUCAUUUCUUCAGCUAAGGUUUCAACACCCAUCAUCGCCGGCAGUUCACCGUGCCGAACGGAGAGGGGAGCGGCCACGGGGUAGAUCCGGGCAUGGGCAUGGACGGUGGGGUGUGUGAUGGUGCUGGUGGUAGACAACAUAGGAGAGUGGGAGUGGUGCUGGUGGCAGACAGCAUGGGAGAGUGUUGGCCAAGGUUGAGGGGUGUGC